GAGGGCGUGCGGCUUCCGGGCGCGCACGAAUUUGCAGCUCGCUGGGUGCGGGUGAGGCGGCCCUGCCUGCGCCGCGCACAAUGCCCGCUCCGCGCCGCCCCGCGCCACAGCGCGCCCCCCCGGCAGAUGGGGCCUGCGGCGGAGGGGGCGAGCCGGGGGGGACGGGCAUGGGGGCACAGCAGCAGCAGCAGCAGCAGGAGGAGGAGGAGGAAGAGGGGCGGGGGUGAAGGCUGAACAAUAUCCUGCCGGCGCUGCCGGGUGCGCCGCGCUAGCGCAGCCCCCGCCCCUCCGCGCGGAGCCUGCGCGGGCCGCGCCGGGCAGGUGCGCGGCGGCCCCGCAGGUGGGGGCGCGCCGCGGGGGCCGCCCCCGGGAGCCAGCGGCCCACGUGGGGGAAAAAAGUUUCUCUUUCACUCCCCUUGCCUUCGAUACCGACAGGGGUGAAAGAACAGCAACAACCACGGUUCUGAAAGGCGGCCGAGGCUGAGUGAAACUGGCCUCAUUCCGCGGCAGGCAUCAUCCACCGCGGCUCUUGUGGCUCCGGUGGGCGCCGCGGCCAACCAGAGCAAGCUGCAACACACCGUGGAUGAGAGCGAUACAUCGCUCCGGGCUCGGGACGGCGAGAUGCCACAUCCCCACGCCACAGAACUGUCCCUGUGUCAAGUCCGCAGCGCGGGACCGAAAGACAGCCCUGAAAGAAAAGCCUGACAAGGUAAACUUAAACUUCAGCACUAAGCAAGACUGGCUACUAAAGAAGAAAAUCAUGAAGGAUGUGAGAGUUUCAGCUGGCAGUAUGCUGCCUGCAGCAUGAUGGAGGAAAAGGACACUGAAGAUAAUUUAAGAGAAGCAGAGCUGAUUAGAAUAGAGCAAAUAUGAUCUGGAACAAGAUUUGGGACUAAAAUACCACCUUAUAAAAAUGAUUACCAGAUAUGACAAUAACAAAAACAAAUAACAACAACAAAAGAUUAAAAUCUUUUAAAAUAA